rnacentral:sRNA from 10 species
AUCGUAGACAAUGAGGAAAAUAAAAAAUCAGAGGCAAGCUCGCUUGCCUCUGAUUUUUUAUUUGACGAAUGUCCGGAUAUGAGCAAGAAGCACCUAAGUGCGGAUUGCGAAUAUACGGAGGCUGGUGUAAGCCAGCCGUGUCUACGAU